rnacentral:rRNA from 1 species
UACGUAGGGUGCGAGCGUUAAUCGGAAUUACUGGGCGUAAAGCGUGCGCAGGCGGUUCGCUGUGUCCUGUGUGAAAGCCCCGGGCUUAACCUGGGAAUGGCAUGGGAAACUGGCGGGCUGGAGUGUGGCAGAGGGGGGUGGAAUUCCGCGUGUAGCAGUGAAAUGCGUAGAGAUGCGGAGGAACACCGAUGGCGAAGGCAGCCCCCUGGGCUAACACUGACGCUAAGGCACGAAAGCGUGGGGAGCAAACAGG